CCACUUUUAUCCCCCACGCCCAUUCUAUAUCCAACCGCCCGGGAGCAGGAGGAGGGCGCGGCGGCGUUGGAGCACGGGAGCGCAGGAGGCGGCGGCGGUGCGAGGAGCUGGCGUGGGGCAGCGUCUGUGGCACGAGGGGCGCGGGAAGCGGCGGUGGACGCGGCAGCGUCUGGGGCGGAGGUGAGGAUGCCUGGAUGCUGAUUGCGGUUGCGGGCGGCGGCGGCUCACGUUGCUCAUCAAGUCUAAAAUCCAGGGUUUGAAGGUUUCUACAAUCAGGCAUGGGUGCUCGACUAAGGACCGGCUAUUUACUGGAGGCUACACCAGGUGAAUCUCUCCACCCUCCUGCCCCUUCAUCUCUACUAAUUGCUGGCCGAUUGAACCAAGCAUUCAAGAUGGUUUUGCGGGAUCUUGAUUUGUUCUUAUUAGAUUAGAUGUACUGAUCCAGAGGUUGUUCUAAAAAUCUAUUAAAUUAGUUGUGCUGUGAAAAGAGCAUAACGGCUGAGUUCGUCAUAUACCAAUUAAUUAGCACCUGCACCUUGCUUUACCCUUGUAUUCUUGCAUUCUUUAAGCAUUAGUCUGUGAAGGUAGAAAAUUGGAUUCUCCAUGCUUAUAGCAGAUAAGGCAUAUUCAUGAAUUACUGUGGUUAGACGAGGUAUAUGUAGCCAAGUCCUCUAUUAGGCUGCUAUUAUUAAUUGGUAACGGCAUGGAUUAGGCCACCAAAAAUGCUUUUUUGUCAUCUACUAGGUUCUCUUGCAAAGUUAUCCCCAUAAAAAUUUCUAUUUUACUAAGUCUCUUUUCUGUAGUUGGAGGAAGUAAUAAAGAAAUUUAGUCAUGCAUAAAUGACACCAAAAGUGAACCCAAACAUUAUUGUGCUUCGAUCUAGUACAGCAAUCUGUUAGGAAAAAUAUCAACCAUGAUUCAUAAGUUAAAAUAUAUAGUUAUUUGCUUAGUGCUUACCUGGCCUGUAGUCUGCACAACUGAAUUCAAGAUUUUGUUCUGAAUUAUUAAGCCAUAAUAAGGCUCCGUACCCACAAUUGUUAUCAAAUAUAAAGCUUAUCCAUAUGGCUGAGCUUUAUCAAUGUAGGAUCGCUGUCAUCGGUGGAUACCCUCCAGAACUUGAUAGUGUAGUAAGUUCAAGGAGCUUACUCUCAAUUUUCAUGAAAGUAAAACAGUAACAUUCCAUAUAUUCUUAUUUUUCAAUAAAAACACUGUAGGAUUAGGUUGAUACAGAGAUUUACAUUAUUUCACUAAAGCAAAUUAAUGUCUGGUAUUAUCAUGCUUGUUUCUCCUUUAGGCUGUCAUUCAAAAUAAUAGGACACAUUCUAUACUUUGGUUCUGCGCUACGCAUUGCCGAUUAUUCUAGAUAUAUACAACAGCAAAAUAAAGCACUUAUAAUACUUAUUUAAAUAAUCACACUGCUCCUCAAUUGUUAUUUUUCUACUAUGCAUGCAUUCAGUCUUUAAUGAUAAACCUAAGUGUGCAGGAGUACUUCAAAUGAGAAGAUGAGCAUGAGGAUGAACAUGCCUACUUCAACACUUUCAUCUAGUGACUUGCAGCAAAACUCAACUCUAAUUUUGAUAGCUGCAAGUUGUUACAAAUUUAACUUUCUGCAAUGUUGCCAAGCUUAGGUGAUUUUCGAUUUCUUGAAAAUUGUUAGUAUCUUUUACUAGGAAUCUGUACACAUGCUAUUACAUUUAUUAGUUUCAGUACACCCAUUGUAGUGAUUUAUUUUUUGAUUCUUUUCUAACUUCGUGCAAACCAUUCAGCAGGCUGAAGCAUAUGGCAAAGUGAAGUGUGCAAUGGCCGGGUUAUAUUGAUGUCUUGAUCCUUGAAUCAUCUUAGGUGCAGAAUGCGAAGGCUUUGGUUGAAAUGAAUAUUCCUUCUCAUUUUAUUUGGAUCAAGAUCAGUGCUAGGUUUGACUGAAUAGGAGCCCUUUCACUCUGCUUGCAGCGAAGAAUACAUGUUCUUCGGAGUGGAAAGUUACAGAAAUGUAUAUACCUUAGUACCAUUGUAAAUCAUUAUGAACAAAUAUUAUCUAUGUGAUGAACCAAGUUGUGGAUCAUAUCUGUAUGUGACUAUUCCAUUUUUAAUAUAGUGUUUGUCCUUGCUUUC